GCAUACAUAACCUGAUGCAUUCAUCACUUCCUGCUGUCAUUACCCUCAUCAACAACGAUGAGGUAUUUUACUGCGGAACGUAUGUCGCUUGAGCAACAAGAUUACUAGCACCUGCUAACAGCACUCAUUAAUAUUAUUGCAAUGUGGGCAAUUGCCCACGAGGCCAUCUGCACAUAUAUGUCUCCAUUUUGUCUCCUGGCCUUCAUUCACGCAUAGGCCAUUCCUUUUUGCAUCUUUAUUGCCAUGUAUGUGGUUAUGUUAGUUCCCUGAAGGCCUGCCCAUCCUUUAUUUGCUGCAAUAUGUACGGCACGCAGGGCUAGCUGCUGGGGAAGUAGUGACACCAACAUCAGCUUUAGCUACUCGUCUGUUUGGCUGCUGCCAGGGUAGCUAGCUGAGGCAGCCUGCACAUACACGCAUCCGUACCACUCUGGGAAAAGGGGGGUCAUUUUACCCGUAAUUUUGGGUCAAUCCACCCGUAAUUUGACAGAAAUUACGGGUCCGUAACACGUUACGGGUCCCGUAAUUUGAGCACAAGGAUACAGGUGAACAUUUACGGGUGAAGACCCAGUGAUUACGGGUGGAUUUUACGCGGUGCUGGAGGUUAAUUACGGGCGCAUGUAACCAAUUACACGCAAAAUUACGGGUGAAGACCCAGUGAUUACAGGUGGAUUUUACGUGGUGCUGGAGGUUAAUUACGGGCGCAUGUAACCAAUUACACGCAAAAUUACGGGUGAAGACCCAGUGAUUACGGGUGGAUUUUACGCGGUGCUGGAGGUGAAUUACGGGCGCAUGUAACCAAUUACACGCGAAAUUACGGGUGAAGACCCAGUGAUUACGGGUGGAUUUUACGCGGUGCUGGAGGUGAAUUACGGGCGCAUGUAACCAAUUACACGCAAAAUUACGGGUGAAGACCCAGUGAUUACGGGUGGAUUUUACGCGGUGCUGGAGGUGAAUUACGGGCGCAUGUAACCAAUUACACGCAAAAUUACGGGUGCAGACCCAGUGAUUACGGGUGGAUUUUACGCGGUGCUGGAGGUGAAUUACGGGCGCAUGUAACCAAUUACACGCAAAAUUACGGGUGAAGACCCAGUGAUUACGGGUUACACAGGCAGAUAUUACUCUGCGAUGUGACGCUUACUGCAUGUUAAAUUAACGAUUGGUGAAUACUUGCGGCAAGCCUCAAAAUGGACGCACACCCCUUGUCAAAGUAGCUUAAGUCUCAGUGUGCUUGUGGACCAAGGCGCUUUGGACUCACAACGCCAACCAGCCAGCCUGACAGCCUGAUGCAUUCAUCUCAACCAUCGUCCUCGAAAACAGCGUUCAUGUCACCCCCCAUACAGCAAGUGCUCGCCAAGGAGUCUCACCACCACUUGCAGAGUUCAUGCCUACUCCUACGGAUGAAACCCCCGAUGCAUGACAUGUACCGGCACCUAUUGGGAUUGGUCUGUCCCAUCCUGCCUGGGGCCGACCUGGUGUGUGCACCCCCAAGCGCUCAUCACUGCUGCCAUGUUACUGCUCACUUCCACCACUGUCGCUGCUGCCACUGCCACUGCUGCUGCUGCUAGCUUCGCUAUAUUUGCCCGGGUCCUCCGAGCUGGACUCCUCCCCAGCGCCAGCGGCUAGGACCUCUUCCUCACCAGCAUCCGACCCACCCUCCAAGCUACCCUCCUCUGUCCGCCCCCUCCGCCCUCCCUUGCCUGCGCCGCCCUUCCCCG
rnacentral:lncRNA from 1 species